rnacentral:rRNA from 1 species
ACUCCUGCGGGAGGCAGCAGUAGGGAAUCUUCCACAAUGGGUGCAAACCUGAUGGAGCAAUGCCGCGUGAGUGAAGAAGGUCUUCGGAUCGUAAAGCUCUGUUGUUAGAGAAGAACACGUGCUAGGUAACUACUAGCGACUUGACGGUAUCUAACCAGAAAGUCACGGCUAACUACGUGCCAGCAGCCGCGGUAAUACGUAGGUGACAAGCGUUGUCCGGAUUUAUUGGGCGUAAAGGGAGCGCAGGCGGUCUGUUUAGUCUAAUGUGAAAGCCCACGGCUUAACCGUGGAACGGCAUUGGAAACUGACAGACUUGGAUGUAGAAGAGGAAAAUGGAAUUCCAAGUGUAGCGGUGGAAUGCGUAGAUAUUUGGAGGAACACCAGUGGCGAAGGCGAUUUUCUGGUCUAACAUUGACGCUGAGGCUCGAAAGCGUGGGGAGCGAACAGGAUUAGAUACCCCUGUAGUCCCAUGA